GACGAACGCUGGCGGCGUGCUUAACACAUGCAAGUCGAACGGAAAGGCCCUGCUUGCAGGGUGCUCGAGUGGCGAACGGGUGAGUAACACGUGGGUGAUCUGCCCCUUACUUUGGGAUAAGCCUGGGAAACUGGGUCUAAUACUGGAUAGGACCAUGCUGUAGGUGGUGUGGUGGAAAGAUUUUUUCGGUAUGGGAUGAGCUCGGGGCCUAUCAGCUUGUUGGUGGGGUAAUGGCCUACCAAGGCGACGACGGGUAGCCGGCCGGAAAGGGUGGACGGCGACAUGGGGACUGAGAUACGGCCCAGACUCCUACGGGAGGCAGCAGUGAUGAAUAUUGCACAAUGGGCGCAAGCCUGAUGCAGCGACGCCGGGUGGGGGAUGACGGCCUUCGGGUUGUAAACUCCUUUCAGCCAUGACGAAGCCGCGUUUGGGGUGACGGUAGUGGUAGAAGAAGCACCGGCUAACUACGUG
rnacentral:rRNA from 1 species